AGACCCGAAACCCGGUGAUCUAGCCAUGGGCAGGUUGAAGGUUGGGUAACACUAACUGGAGGACCGAACCGACUAAUGUUGAAAAAUUAGCGGAUGACCUGUGGCUGGGGGUGAAAGGCCAAUCAAACCGGGAGAUAGCUGGUUCUCCCCGAAAGCUAUUUAGGUAGCGCCUCGUGAAUUCAUCUCCGGGGGUAGAGCACUGUUUCGGCUAGGGGGCCAUCCCGGCUUACCAACCCGAUGCAAACUGCGAAUACCGGAGAAUGUUAUCACGGGAGACACACGGCGGGUGCUAACGUCCGUCGUGAAGAGGGAAACAACCCAGACCGCCAGCUAAGGUCCCAAAGUCAUGGUUAAGUGGGAAACGAUGUGGGAAGGCCCAGACAGCCAGGAUGUUGGCUUAGAAGCAGCCAUCAUUUAAAGAAAGCGUAAUAGCUCACUGGUCGAGUCGGCCUGCGCGGAAGAUGUAACGGGGCUAAACCAUGCACCGAAGCUGCGGCAGCGACACUCAGGUGUUGUUGGGUAGGGGAGCGUUCUGUAAGC
rnacentral:rRNA from 3 species